GACGAACGCUGGCGGCGUGCUUAACACAUGCCAGUCGAACGGAAAGGCCCUGCUUUUGUGGGGUGCUCGAGUGGCGAACGGGUGAGUAACACGUGAGUAACCUGCCCUUGACUUUGGGAUAACUUCAGGAAACUGGGGCUAAUACCGGAUAGGAGCUCCUGCUGCAUGGUGGGGGUUGGAAAGUUUCGGCUGUUGGGGAUGGACUCGCGGCUUAUCAGCUUGUUGGUGGGGUAGUGGCUUACCAAGGCUUUGACGGGUAGCCGGCCUGAGAGGGUGACCGGCCACAUUGGGACUGAGAUACGGCCCAGACUCCUACGGGAGGCAGCAGUGGGGAAUAUUGCACAAUGGGCGGAAGCCUGAUGCAGCAACGCCGCGUGCGGGAUAACGGCCUUCGGGUUGUAAACCGCUUUCGCCUGUGACGAAGCGUGAGUGACGGUAAUGGGUAAAGAAGCACCGGCUAACUACGUG
rnacentral:rRNA from 1 species